rnacentral:rRNA from 1 species
UACGUAGGUGGCGAGCGUUGUCCGGAUUUACUGGGCGUAAAGGGAGCGUAGGCGGACUUUUAAGUGAGAUGUGAAAUACUCGGGCUCAACUUGAGUGCUGCAUUUCAAACUGGAAGUCUUGAGUGCAGGAGAGGAGAAUGGAAUUCCUAGUGUAGCGGUGAAAUGCGUAGAGAUUAGGAAGAACACCAGUGGCGAAGGCGAUUCUCUGGACUGUAACUGACGCUGAGGCUCGAAAGCGUGGGGAGCAAACAGG